AUCCAGAUGACGAGUCUUAAAUGAGACGAAACGCGCAUCCUCGAU
rnacentral:hammerhead_ribozyme from 1 species